GAUGAACGCUGGCGGCGUGCCUAAUACAUGCAAGUAGAACGCUGAAGGAAGGAGCUUGCUCUUUCCGGAUGAGUUGCGAACGGGUGAGUAACGCGUAGGUAACCUGCCUGGUAGCGGGGGAUAACUAUUGGAAACGAUAGCUAAUACCGCAUAACAGUAGAUGUUGCGUGAUAUCUACUUAAAAGGUGCAAUUGCACCACUACCAGAUGGACCUGCGUUGUAUUAGCUAGUUGGUGAGGUAACGGCUCACCAAGGCGACGAUACAUAGCCGACCUGAGAGGGUGAGCGGCCGCACUGGGACGGGGACACGGCCCAGACUCAUACGGGAGGCAGCAGGAGGGAAUCUUCGGCAAUGGGCGGAAGUCUGAGCGAGCAACGCCGCGUGAGGGAAGAAGGAUGUCGGAUCGUAAAGCUCGGUUGUAAGAGAAGAACGAGUGUGAGAGUGGAAAGUUCACACUGUGACGGUAUCUGACCAGAAAGGGACGGCUAACUACGUG
rnacentral:rRNA from 1 species